AUGCCAAUAACCCAGAGCACGUUUUUCUCCCAUCACGGAAUAUCCAGACCCUCCUCCGCAACGCUGUGGAGGAUGGUCAUCAGAGGCAGAUGACACUGACAGGACUGAUUCUUAUAAAUGUUACUUAUAAAAGGUCAGUAACCGCCCUCAAUUGUCUGUAAAGUAGCAUAACUGACCUGAGUGCAGGCUGGUAGUUUGAGACUGAGGAGCCACUGGCUGGAUGGAAGUAACUAGAGCUGGUCUGAGGUAAGCAGUGGUACAGGGUCUCCGGGUAAGAAGAGCAGGGGUUGAGCUGGGUCAUGGCGCUGAGAGAGGACAGGCAGGAGGAAGAGGAGGAGGAGCAGGUGGAGGAGGAAGAAGUAGUAGUCAAGGGUCUCCCCGUCAUGGGUCCCUGGUUGAUGACGGAGCCUCGGUGCACCAACGCUGCUGGAGAAAUGGGGGGCGUCAUGAGGGGCCCGCUGACCAUCUGACCACCUGAGCGUGAAGAGGGAAAACACACAGGGGCCGUUCUGCAGGUCCUGCUCCUUGUCGUUGUUGAACUGAGUCUCCAGAGCCAACAGGAUGUACUCGUCUAACAGCAUCCUGAUCAGAUGGAAGGAACCUGUCAACGUUGAAAAUACAAAAAGAAAAAAAAAAAAUUAUGAGUUUGACCUUUGCGUCAGGCUGCUCUUUGUUUGACCUGCAGGGACGCAGCUUUAAAAGCGUCUGUGUGUGUUUGAGCUUCACUAGGACUCUUCAGACCAAAUGGUCAGUGUUGAUUCACCUACACGUUUUCUCUGUGUGUGCGUGUGUUUGAACAGCGAGCAUGCGACCCGCAGAUAAGACUUUGUUUAAUCAAGGCGAGUCUGGCCAUUUAAAUUUAUGGCGCUAUUGUAACAAUCUGCUCCAAGCCGGCUCGUAUUAGCCGUGUGUGUGUGUGUGUG